UUCCCUUGCCUUGGUUGAACUUUUCUUCAGAAGUUGAUCUUUUCUUGAUGUCAGACGGGAUGUUCUUGACAUUAGGUCUACCUCUUUGAUCAAUCUUCUUCACGAACUUGUUGAACUGUCUCCCAAGCAUGGCUAAGGCUUCUGAUAUACUUUCAUCACCUUCAGUAUAUCCUGCUUCUGACUCCUCUUCAGCAUUAGAUACAAAAGCUACGCUUUUGUUCUUCUUUUCAGCAUUCUCACACAAGCCCAUUUCAAAGGUUUGGAGAG
rnacentral:lncRNA from 1 species